rnacentral:rRNA from 1 species
ACUGAACGCUGGCGGCAUGCUUUACACAUGCAAGUCGAACGGUAACAGGCCUUCGGGUGCUGACGAGUGGCGAACGGGUGAGUAAUGCAUCGGAACGUGCCCAGAGGUGGGGGAUAACGCAGCGAAAGCUGUGCUAAUACCGCAUGUGAUCUGAGGAUGAAAGCGGGGGACCGAGCAGCAAUGUUUGGCCUCGCGCCUUUGGAGCGGCCGAUGUCGGAUUAGCUAGUUGGUGGGGUAAAGGCCUACCAAGGCGACGAUCCGUAGCUGGUCUGAGAGGACGACCAGCCACACUGGGACUGAGACACGGCCCAGACUCCUACGGGAGGCAGCAGUGGGGAAUUUUGGACAAUGGGCGCAAGCCUGAUCCAGCAAUGCCGCGUGCGGGAAGAAGGCCUUCGGGUUGUAAACCGCUUUUGGCAGGAACGAAACGGUGUCCGCUAAUACCGGGCGCUAAUGACGGUACCUGCAGAAUAAGCACCGGCUAACUACGUG